UUGGGUAAAAUGGUGGGUCAAACGUCCAUUUUACGGCCGUAUUGUUGGGUCUUUAGUCGAUUGUCGGGUCCCAAAGUCGAUUAUCGGGCACUUGGACCCGACAGUUGAAGACCCACUUAAAAAAAGGCUGCUUAACAUACUCAUGACUAUUUUUAAAUUCAAAUUUGCAUGUGUAAUUUUACUCGAAUUGUCGGGCCUAUAUCUCCCAUUAGCACACAUUAGGUCAAACUCCACACAGCAGUUACUUCCCUUGGGCAUUCGCCAAUCAUUAAUGUCUUUUUCUAGAAUAAGGGAGGCCACUGCGUAUGAGAUUGACCAACCUCGGCGCAGUGAUUUACCGGGAACCAGCAUAGCAACGAACGACAACUCGGCGCCCGACAACUCUGUAAUAAAAAUUGCCAAUUUUCGCGGUUAAACUUAAAAAGAGUCCAUGUCAACUGCUGACAGUGAAGAGCCAGGCAGUCUGACCCAUGAUAGGAGGGAGCCAAGUGAAGAGCCAGCCAGUCUGACCCAUGAUAGGAGGGAGCCAAGUGAAGAGCCAGCCAGUCUGACCCAUGAUUCUUGACAUGACUCAUGGUGAACUAAAAUUGCUUGCAAAGCAUCUGGGACAUGAUGUGAAGACCCACAAGGAAUAUUAUCAGUUGUCUUCCAGUACCAUGGAACUCUCAAAGGUAUAUAUUUCAUUAAUAAAA